AGUAGCUGGAAUUACAGGUGCACACCACCACAUCCGGCUAGCUUUUGUAUUUUUAGUAGAGAUGGGAUUUCCCCAUCUUGGCCAGAUUGCUCUCAGACUCCUGAUGUCAAGUGAUCCACCUGCCUCGGCCUCCCAAAGUGCUGGGAUUACAGGUGUGAGCCACGGCGCCCAGCCUAAUUCAAUGACUUUUGACAAACAUACAUGAUCAUUUGGUGCAUACCCUCAAAUGUAUAUAUUCCAAUUAAGACAGAAGACAUUUUCUCAUUUCCCAAUGUAUGUGAUUUCCCCUGACAAGUCAAUUCCACCCCCACCCUCCCAUAAUAAUCACUGUUCUGACUUCUCUCCCUGCUCUGGGGCUUCUUACAUACUGAAUUACAGAGCACGUCCUUUUUGCCUGGCUUCCUUCAUGCCAGGUGUGAAAUUCACGUCUAAGACUCAUCCCUGCUGUGACAUGUAUUAGAAGCGCAGCCUUCUUUCUUGUUCACUUUAAUGGUCUGAAAGUUUGUGCCCCAUCAAAAUUCCUAGGUUAAAGUCCUAACCCCCAUUGUGAUGGUAUUUGGAGGUGGGGUCUUUGAAAGCUGUUAGAUCAAGGAGGGGGAGCCUUUGUGAAUGGGAUGAGUGCACUUACAAAGGGGCCCCAGAGAGCUCUCUUGCCCUCUUUCUGCCAUGUGAGAACACCGUGAGAAGGCAGCCUACAACCUGGUAGAGGGCCCUCAUCAGAACCCAACCAUGCUGACACCCUGGUCUCGAACUUCCAGCCUACGAAAUGAGAGCUCCUCAAAGAGGGAACUGACAGCACUUUCUAAGGAAUGAAACACAAAUAUUGAAAAUCCAAGAGUGACUUCUGAACCUAUGAACAGCUCCUUCCUGUGUUCUAUUACACUGCCUUCCCCUUUUCAAGUUAAAAGAGACUGAGCAAUCACAUGCAAAGAAUUUGAUUAACAUCUACUAGAAACUCAGCCCUCUGUGAAUGCCAGAGGAAGGAGCUGGAAGGAGGAGAAGGAAAAGAGAAAAAAAGAAGAAGGAGAUGAGGGUUUCUAGAUGAAAUGGUGUGACUCUUUGGUAAGUGGACAGUGGAGGGGGAAGCCUGGUCCAGGGAAGGUGGGACAGUGAAUGAGACCCCAGGUGAGGUCAACAGGGGGCCAGGCACCUGGCUGAGGAUCUGCUGUUCACUUAGUUGUUUUCUAAGCUCAUUGGG
rnacentral:lncRNA from 1 species